AGCGAACGCUGGCGGCAGGCUUAACACACGCAAGUCGAGCGCCCCGCAAGGGGAGCGGCAGACGGGUGAGUAACGCGUGGGAACGUACCCUUUGCUACGGAAUAGCUCCGGGAAACUGGAAUUAAUACCGUAUGUGCCCUACGGGGGAAAGAUUUAUCGCCAUUGGAUGGGCCCGCGUCGGAUUAGCUAGUUGGUGGGGUAACGGCCUACCAAGGCGACGAUCCGUAGCUGGUCUGAGAGGAUGAUCAGCCACACUGGGACUGAGACACGGCCCAGACUCCUACGGGAGGCAGCAGUGGGGAAUAUUGGACAAUGGGCGAAAGCCUGAUCCAGCCAUGCCGCGUGAGUGACGAAGGUCUUAGGAUUGUAAAGCUCUUUCACCGAUGAAGAUAAUGACGGUAGUCGGAGAAGAAGCCCCGGCUAACUUCGUGCCAGCCGCCGCAGUAACAC
rnacentral:rRNA from 1 species